GCAUGUGCAUACAUCCAGAUUGUCCUUCAGUGACUGUAAAAUAAUUUGGUUAAUGGACUUAGGUUGAAUUUGCUUUGGUGUAACUGGAAGUGGAAAACAGCUAAUUAGACACAGCCCAAUAUAGUAACAGUGUGAGAAAUAUUUUAAAUUGAGAAAUCUGGCAGACAAUGUUCUCUUUUUUAUGUAGUUAAUAUAGAAUGUAGUAUUUGUCAUGUUUGUUUACAGUGAUAAAAUUCUUAAAUGGCUUACUUUGAGGAUGAUAAUUUGUUCUCAAACUGAUUAAGAUGGUGGUGGGAGGAAUAGCUCACAACUUGGGAUGAAUAUUGUAUAGGUUUCAGUGCUACUGUCAGAUGAGGAAUCACAUUAUCAUGGACAUCAUGUGAUGGAGUCAGAAUACAAAAUAAGUGAUGCAAGAAAACUGGUACCUUCAAGGUUCUUUUCUUAAGGUGUUUGGUACUUAGUCCAAAGUAAAUAUAUCAAUCAAUACCUUGUGAAGAAAUCAGCAUUUUUGCUUGAUUUGGUGAAUUUGUGUUAAGUCAUAAUCAAAAAAGUUCAGAACUCAGACAAAUUCCAUAUCCUUCACUGUAGGGACUUUAAUACACUAUAAGGGAAAUUUGUGUAAAAUUUGCCUAUCCUUCUCUGCUUAGUGAUCAUUGGCAGAACGUGAUUGUUCUCUUCCUGUGAAGGUGCCUUGCAACAGGGGUAGAAGAAUAAAAGGAAAGGCUCCCUCUAUAAAUUUUUAAUGUUUUAAUAAUCUCUUAUAAAAGUGGUGUCCAGUAGUUUUAAGAUGGAAGAAACAAUUUCUUCUCACGAUCAAGAGCUGUUUCAGCACUGUUCAUUUCUCCAGAGAUGGUUCCUGCUUGUCGUGUGAUUCAGAUUUGUGGCUCAUCUUAGGGAAGGAAUGUUUCCUUCAGCCAUUACUGGAAAGAGAGGGUUUAUGCUCUCCGUAUUUAGCACCCAAUGGAGGUAGUGUGUUCCCUUUUAUUUCUCUUUACUAAACUUUUCUUUACACCUCACUUCUGUCAGCAUGGUUUAUAAAAACUUACUGAUUCAGUGUAAAAAUGGUGGGGAUUUCUGCAGGUUUUUUUUUGUUGUUUAAUUGUGAGUAAAUUAGACAAAUAAAAUAUGGGUAUAGUAAUAUUCAGAAUAUCAAGCUAUCAGCUGUCAGUCUACUUAGUGUAUUUCUUAUACAGUUCCUUUACAUACUCUUGUUCUUUCACAAGCACACAUUUUCCUAGUAUAAAUCAGUAAUUGCAUAGGAAUAAAAUUUUUAUUUUACAGAAAUGCUAAGUAAGGCUAUUCAGUUAUUUUAUAUGGAGAGGAAAUACGGGAACUACGUCCAGUCUUACUUGUGCUCUUACUUCCGAAGAGCCUUCUCCCUGACACAAGGGCUGAAACAUGGGAAUACUUCACACGUCAGAAAUAACUUAUUGAAUGAAAUAUUCACCUGGGGUAAUGUGCAAGGACACAGUAAUAUAAAUAUAGCUUGAUGAUAUUUAUCAACAUGAUAAAAGAGAUUCAAGUUGUAGUGAUGACUUGGUACAUUUUUUUCUCUAUAGUAGUAUACACAUAUAUAUAUUGAUAUAACUAAAUGGUAGUUUUGUCAGAUACUAUAGAAAUAGCCGUAGAGAAUGAACAUGAAUCACAUGUUUUUGGGGCUUUUUGUUUUGUUCUACUAAUUUGUUUAAUUAACAUCUUUGUUGGUAUUUUACGAUGACUAAAGCAGUUUUGAAAGAAAAGCUCCACUUCCAUCUGUUAAUCGGAAGUGUUAAAAAUAGAAUGCCAUCUAAUCACAUGAAAUACAAUGUCUUGUGAUUUGUGAUUUGCUUUACAGAUUUCCUGGCUGAAGUGGUGGCUUGAAGCUUAAAAAUCAAAUCAUCUAAUUAUGUAUUACAGUAGUGUGUUGUUAUUCUCCCUGGGGCUUUUAAGUUGAAACUUCUGAGGUGUUGCUGUGGUUUUGGUCUUUUUACCAGCAGGUUAAUUAUUUCAAUAGUGUGACAAUUCAGUUUUUUCUUGCUACAGACAGCCUUUUGUAGUUCUUAGUGUUUCUAGGUGAAACUUAGGUAUUGGGUCUUUGAUAUACUCCAGCAAAAGGCUGCAAACAGAGAACAGUCUCUUAGCCCAAUGCAGAAUAGUGUGGUAGAGUUCAUUAAUAUGCAUGAAAUACGACAGAAUAUGAUCGAAGCUUGUUUCUGAAAUAAGUAUAAUUUAAAAUAAGUAUAGUUUAAAGUGUUUGCAUUUUCAUUAGUGUAUAGCAUAGAGAAUUGCAUUUUUCCACUUUGCCUAGUCUUUAUAAAAUGGUAAGUAUCCCUUGAAGAUUGGCAUUUGGCUUGGCUAAUUUUUAGAGUACUAAAGAUAUAGUAGAUAUAUAGCAGUAAACUUCUUUUUAACUGUUUAAAUCUUACCCUAGGAUAAAUAAUUCUUCUCUGGCAAUGACUUUUACCCCACUAAAAUGCUUGCUUUGAUAAAAGCACAAAGCUAUUCCAAUAUUAAGGACCUGAUAGCACCUGGGAUUUUAGAGCAACAGAAAUAAAAUGCUGAAACUCAGUUAAUGGCAGAGAAAAUUGCAUUGGAGAGGACGAAAUGUAGUGGAAUUGAAAAGGGGGCUGCAGAACAUUGCUGUGAAGUGCUGGGUACAUGUUGUUGCCAUAAUGCAGAGCACAGGCUGAGUCCCUGACAAUUUUGCAAGGGGACUGUGUUGAUGCCUGCUGCAGCCCCAGGCAAGAGUUUGACCAUCCCAAAAAGCACCCUGCUGCUGGUGGGCACUCUUAAGGGGUGGGGGGAAUAACAAUGUCUUCUAGUCACAUUCCUGUUGGACUAAGUAAUUUCUCAGAUUGUGGACAUUCACAAAAUAUAUUAGGCUUUUGUAUGCUCUGAACUAUAAGAUUUGGGAUAAUCAAAUAUGUAGUAAUUAAUAUUUUAUAUAAAGACUGUGCAGUAACAAAAUUUUAAUAUUUUUAUUGAUAUAGAUAUAAAUAUUAUUACAGGAAAAUGUAAAAAGCCUUUUGAAGUAUACACAAUAUCUGGGUAUAAAAUUUAUUGAGUUCUCAGACAAUAUCAAAUGAGAUGUCCUCAAUAGUCCUUAUUUUUACAUAGGUAUUUAAAAAUUCUCUGAACUUUUCAAGUGAGAAAUAGUCUUUAUUGGCAGUUGGUAGUCGUACUAAUAUGAAUGGCAAUUAUGUUUAAUAAUUGGUUUCAGGCGUAUCUUCAUUUUCACAGGAUAAUUAAAAGCUGAAAGAGAUAUUUUUGAUAUUUUUAUUUGUAUCAUCAAAAGUGUUACACAUGUCUUUUUUGUGACAAGAAUUUUUCAGUAUUCUAAGUUUAAUCCAGAUAUGGUUUGGAAAAGAACCUUACUUGUCUUCCUGGUUUUUGAUCUCAUUUGGGAAAUAAAUUUUCUUGCAUUUGCAGUUCUAGAUCUUUCAUUUGAAUUUGAGGCUGUAAUCGAUGCAUAAGCACAUCUGAAUUUCAUCUUAAACAUUCUUCCCUUGGUCUGCAAAAUUAUUUUAAACAAUUGUAAAUAACAAAGUUGGGAUGGAGUUAUGCCUUUCUACACUUCCUGAGAAGGGAAAGUGGAGAGGGAGGUGCCGAUCUCCUGGUAUCCAGUAACAGGAUGUGGAAAUGGUUUAAAGGCUGUGUCAGAAGUUUAGGCUGGACACUAGGAACCAUUUAUUUACUGAGAGGGUGGUCACACACUGGAAGAAGCUUCCUAGAGAAGUGGCCAAUGUCCUAAGCCUGUCAGCGUUUAAGAGGAAUUUGGGCAAUGCCCUUAAAACCAUGCUUUACCUGUAGAUUUGGCUAUGAAAUGGUCAAGCAGUUGGACCAUGGGAUUAUUGUAUGACCCUUUCAACUGAAAGAAUCUAUCCUAUUCUAAAGAUGUAAGUUCUGGUUUUCCAACCUUAUCUUCUUUCUCUUACAAUGGAAAAACAAAUUCUUUUAUUUAGUAAUGAUGGUGUUUCAUAUUUUCAUGAUUUAAAACCAAAAAUGUGUAUAAUAAAAGACAUAUAAUAAAUAACAUCAUUUUUUAUGGUAAAAAUCAAACAGGGUGGGAUUUCAGUGUAGGUAUUGAGCAUCAGCUUUGCUGUAUAACUCAUUAUCUGGUAAUACGUCACGUUAAAUUGAUUUAAACACUUUAAGCACCUUAAUCCUUUGGCCAGUGAAUUUUAUUGCUGGCUAUAUUAGAGACUGUUUCAAUAUAGUUUCAAAUUUGAGAAUUGAGACUCCUGACAUCAAGACAGAGUUAUUUUCCUGAUUGCCUAGGUGAUAUACCUGUGCAGCUUGGAAAGAAAUGGCUGUGGUCGUCAUUUGUCUCCAAAACAGGCAUGUGAAACUAAUAGUGCAGUGACCUGUGAAUGGUCAACAAAACUGGUUUGAUGCAUUGCAGCUACAAGGUCUCCUUGGUUAGUCAUUGCAUUUUUUAAGUUUGUGUUUUGAUAGCAGAAAAAAAUGAAAUAGGGGAAUUAAAAAUGAAAAAAAAUAUUUAAUAACAGGGAAGAUUAUGUCCUGGGGAAAAAAACCCGAACCAUUAUGGACGGAAGCAAAUAACAUGUUUUCAUUGUCUUGAUUUGUCAAAUAUGGCCAGCCAAACCUUAAAACUGGCAAAGAUAUUACAGGCUGCAUGUGUGUUUCUUUUGACUAUGUUUACUGUUUUAAGGAUGAAAGAUGCUGGGUUUUUAUGAACUGCAGGUUUAUCUAGUUAAACUUCUUGCUUCAAUUGCCAUUUCCUUAAUCUUUUAGUGAGAUGGGAGUUUUGAUCUUUCCGUCUUUUCAAAAUUACUUCCCUAAUGACUAGAUUAUGACAUUUUUGAAACGGCUAUGCUAAGUAGGUACAGUCUGCACCUCCAUCCAGGAGCUGUGACAGCAGUAAGUGUCCCUCAGAACUAUUCAUUGAAGGCUCUCAAAAUUGGUUCUUACUUGCUUCUUCACUUUUCAGCUGCACUGUGUUGCAUUCAGCAUCUUGCAAUGUCACAGAGCAAAUGACUAGCUAUUCUAGCACUUCUGAAUCAAUGCUCUUUACAAUGCUUUUUUAUUAAAAUUUACCAUUUGAAUAUGGUUUGAAGUGCAAUGAUAGCUGUAGAUACCUAUCUACUGCAAAUACUACUUUAGUAGCUGUGUUAGCAGUUUUUCUUUGAAAGUGUGAUGGCUUGCCUCACUUACUGAAAUGAAAACUCUGCAUGAUUUCAAUGACUUUGUAUUCUCAACAAUUGAAAGACAUUUAAAUUUAGUAUUUGGUAGCAGAAAUGUACCCAUUAGUCUCUAGAGAAGUGAAGGUGUAGUUUAUGUUGGGUUUGUACUUCAUUAGAGCCACCUCUCUUGCAAUGCAGUCCUGACAGAUUUGUAAGAUGAAGGCAUUACGCUUUGAAAAGAUACCUGCUUUCUUCAAGUAUGAAGAGCUAAUUUUCUAAAAUGUGAAGAAAUAUUAAAAUCCUAUUUUGUACUGCUGCUGUUUGUAUCCUGCUUGCAAAUAAGGAUCAGGAGGUGUCUGUUAGUAAUUACAAUGAACAAACUUUGCAAAUCUUGCUUUGUUUGUUUACUUGCGAAGCAAUUUUAAAAUAACAAGGUAAUUGUUACAGUUUCCUAAUCACAGGGUAAGUAAUAUGUUUCCUCCAGAAACCCAAGCCUUGCCUGUGGUUGGGAAAGUCUUCAAAAAAGUGGAGGCUAAAGGAAAGUGUAUGACCUAAAUUUUUCAUUGCAAUUCUACUGUUCAGACAAAUAGUGUGACAACUGUGUGCACUGAAGAAAUGUGAAAAUGUGGCGAAAUGUGAGUGUGAGACAGGAGGGAGAAUGUUUGGGAUCCUAGUGCUUCCAGACUUCAGGUGUUCUUAUCCAUAUAUAUACAAAUGUGGGUGCAAGUAUUUUGUGUGUGUGUAUAGAUGGAUGUACAUGCACAGACACACACAUACAUUUAUAAACAAACUAAUACAUAGAUGUUUCUAACCUGUAAUUAUGGUAGUCAGUAAGAUUUUCUUUUCUUUAUUUUUUUUUAUUUCCCAAUUUGUCCUUGAAGAUUUUAACGAAGAAGGCUGCUUCUUCUAUUUCAUUAUUAAUUCAGUGUUCUUGCUUUUACAUGUUUAAUUCGGUUCCUGGCUGUAAGUUUGAGUAGUUUUGUGGACUGCAUGAGUAUCUUGCAUUUUUAGGCUAUGAUGGAUCAAUCUUACUAGAUAUGCAUCUAUAUUACAAUGUUGGCAUACAGUAAUGAAUCAUGUUUGAUAACAGGAGUAGUGUUCCAUUCGUUAUAAAUUUUAUCUUACUGAAUGUGGGAGAAACCUGAAGGAGUUGUGUAACUUAAGACAUCUUAUUUUCUGUGAACUGCUAUCUCAUGGUGACUCUCAGGGCUGAAUAAAGUUAUUCUUGUUUGUCAAAACAUACAUUCUUUAUGGCAUUUUAUAAGACAUUUUAAGAAAGUCAUGUCUCCCAGGGAUGCAGUUCUCCCUCCUUCAGCUUUAGUAAGGGGAAACAUUAAAUGAAAUGAGAUUUGGGAAUCAUUUAUAUCGGGUCACGUUGAUAACACACACAGUGGUUUUUCAUCUUUGAAGUAUUACAGCCUGUUUUAUUAUUAAUCUGACUUUUUUCAUUUACUUUUUUUUUUGAAAGUAAUAGAGGAUCAGUUCAAGUUAAGUUUGUACAUCUCUGCUUCUUGUGAGGAUUAUUAACUAAUGAGAAGCAUAAAACUACGAAACCAACAUUUAAGCAGAAGAUGCAGAAUAUCAUAAUACAGUGAAAGCUAGGAAUGGUGUAGGGAUUAUGUGAAAAUGAACUCAUUUGGUCAGCCUUGGAGGGACAUUGAGAUUGAAGAGGAAUCAGGAACUAAAGUGCUAAUGGGGAGUUCUGGAAAUCUAGGUUUAUGUCUUCUCUGUUUCACCUUUGACUGGAAACUGAAAAGAUACAACUGCUCUUUUACCUUACAAAAUAAAAAUAAAUAAAUUAAAAACCAGUUAGUGCUCAAAUUACGAGGGUUUCUAAAAAAGAAGGAAUUGAAUUUUUAUUUUUGACUGUAAAAUAUAGUGCAAGUGAGAGCUAAGGUAAUUUUUAAAGAAGGUUGGGGAUUGUUUGCUAGUUUUUGUGCCUAAAAAUGUAAACAUACGUAAUCAUUUAACAGUCCCUUUUUUCUUUCUUUUUUUCUCUUGUUGGGUUUUUUUUCCUUUCAGUGGCUGUAUGGUAGAAGUAAAGUGUGACUGCAGUAAUUUGAAUGUAUGCAGUAAUGAGUAUGGGAGGAAAUCAUCAAUGUGUUGAUAAUGGUGUUUACAGAGCAGAGUUGGAAGAGUGUAUUCAGAGAAGGUUUACAUCCUACACCUGAAGAACACAGAAAAUAACCCAUUUUGACUUCAGUAAGAAAACAGUGACAAUUUUGAGGCAAAGUCUACAUGGCAAAAACCUCUUCAAUCAUGUUAGUAAUAGUUGCUUUGUUGGAUGUAAACAGAAGGAGAUUGAACUAAAAUCAUAGAACAGUAGAAAAGACCUUUAAAAUCAUGAGUUAAGGAGAAAGUUGGCACAUAAUGGUCUGCUAUAAUUUUUUCUUCCACAAUUUUAUUAAGUAAAAAAAUACUUUUCACUGUUCACUGAUACUGUUUACUGAAUGUCUGCAAAGGCCUUUGGUAUUCGACCCAUGCAGUUAAAUUCUAGCACAAUAGAAUGUAAAGUCUCAAAGUGAAAAAUGUUGUUCAAUCUUUACAGUUGGCUCUGCUGUCAAUUUGAUCUGCAAUAUAUUAGAAUGAUAAAUAUGUUGAAGGAGCUCAUGUUGAUUGUUGAUUGUGUUCUUUAGCUGUUUUCUAGGGGAUGCUUUUCAUCAGGCUUUUAAAAAAAAAGAGGGUAAGAUUCCAAGGGCACGGUCAGUGUCAUCAAUACUUAUGGUAGCACCUAAUUUUGUAUUUCAGGAGCAUUUGCAUUAGUUACUGAAAGCUAUUCUUGGCUGCAUUUUAAUAGGUUAAUAGUUUGUACUUAAUUAUAUAGAUCAGUAUUGGCUAAGCUUACAGCAGUGUUGUAAUUGAGUUACUGUAAAUUUUGGUAUGAGAGUUUUUCAACAGAAAUUAAUCCUUAAUUCUGAAAUAAUCCCCAUCUUUGUGUGCUGCUUUUCAUGUACAAGAGCUGUAGCUGUAAGUUCUCUCUGUAGAGAUAAAUGAAUUUAUAUGGCGAAUGCAUUUUCUUGAGCAAGAUGUGUAACAUGUUGUUUAACAGUUUAUUAUGAAACAAUGCCAAACAUUUUGCUUACUGAUCAGACAUGUGAAUCGUUAGCUAAUGUGAAAGCUAUGAAGAGGAAGAGCAUUGCCAUCAAACUGAAGUGUUGUUUUGAAGAUUCCUGGGGGCACUGAUAUUUUGAUAUUUUUCUCUUUUUCCUCACAAGGGGAAGUUAUACCGAGUUAUAUAUCAGGAAAUACAUUUUAAGGAAGCUAUACUGAAUUACUACAGGAAAUUCAUUAAUAUAUUUACUGUGGUGUUUUCUGUUGGGGAGUAACAAAACAGAACUAAUAUUUAGUUGUAUCUGGCCAAGAUUUGAGGAUGUGCUUAAAUCAUGCGACAGUAUUGGCUGAAUGAAUUCCAGAAGACAGCAGUUGGCAAGCCUUGAGUCUGCUGUGAUGGUGGACAGGCAAGUGAUUUCUUCAUUCAGUAAAUUGCUUUGGAACAAACAAGAUGCAGGAUAAACAAGUGAGUCCAGUUUCUUUUUCUACCUGAAAUGAUGGCUACCUAUACUUUUGACAGAGAAUAACUGUAUUGUGGGGAUUUCUUCUGAGGCUUUUCAGGUUUGAAAACUCUUUUCUAGUGUGUUGUUAAUAGCUGUGUAAUACAGGGCUGGAUUUCAGCACUGAUGCCUAUUACAGAGUAAAACUUAAACCAACAUACAAUGUUUUACUUAGAAUUCAGUGCAUAUUCCCAGCCUACUAGGUUUACUAACCAACUGUAAAGUAUUUGUCAAGAGAAAAUUUAUAGCACUAUAACUUCAUGUCUGUCUCACCCACUUUCUCUUUUGUUCAUGUACUGUGCUGAUGAUGUGUGUUCCGAAUUUGGCAAAGCUGGUUCUCAACAAGGAGUUUAAGGACAGAUCUGGUUUCACGUUCACUGUGUAUCUUAAAAAACCCCAAACCUUCCAUUAUAGGACUUUAACAUGAAAAAAUAGUUCUGUGUAUAUCUAGUUGUUGCAAAUUGCUGGCCCGAGUGACUAAUUUGACCCUGAAAAAGCUACAAGCUGGUAGUCAUGAUAAUGAUUUGCAGUGCAUUUUAAACUGCUUUUGGCACUAGUUGUUAAGAAGGCUCUCCUUCACUCCUGUUAUAUUUAUUAGAGUGAAAACCCUAAUAUAUGGAUGGGUGUUCAAGACUUACCUAGAUAAAUAGUCACCUCCUUUUUGUGAAGAUUUGAGUUCAUAGUACUGUUCUGUUGAGUCAAGGUUGCUUGUACUUAAAAGAAGUACACUGCUUCCUGCAUUAGUCUGGCAAUCUCUGAGUCAGGAAAGGAUUUCCUAGAAUGUGCAGGGAAUACUGGACAAAGUGAGCAUUGUCAGACUGGUAAGUUAAGCAUGCUAGAGGAUGGAAGUGUGCCUAUAAAUAGGAAACCAAUCUGCAAAAAUACAUAAAGAUCUUGAGAAGAGAGGAUCUUAGAGGAGAAAUCUAAUUGGGGGAUACUUAAGAAGGGUGAUACAUUUGAAAUGGCAGUUAAAUAAAAAGAAAGGUCAAGAGAGAGAAAAGAAAAGGCCUGUUGGGGAGGGGUGUUUUGUUUGAAGACUAUAAAUUAAGUAAGGCUCCAAAAAUUAGGAACUGGUGAUGCCUGAAAUGUAGGUUGUGUUGGUUAUAGUUGCUUCUGGAUUUGUUUUUUUUCUGCUGCCUAGGGAGGACAUAAUAAACGUUAACGGUUUUGUAGGGUGAAUAUUUGCUUUUAUCACAGUCCUUGGGAAUUCUUCAGUUGAUUAAAGUAUUGGCAAGGGAAGAGAAGGGAGAAGGGCAGGGAGAAGCCUCAGUGUCCAUUUGCACAAAGCUACAGUCUUAGGUUUAAUUAAACAGGGUGGGGUUUUUUUGGUUUUUUUUUUUUUUUUUUUUUUUUUACUUUUGAAAAGCAAUAUAUUAAAUCUUUGAGUUUACCAUGUAUCUCUCUGAAGAUUUAUCUGAAGAACAGUACUAUGAACUCGAAUCUGCAUGAAACUUCUGUGUACCGCUGUAAGUUUUAGAAUGGGAUCCUUUACAUACACUUGCUUUUUCCUUAAUCGAGAGUCCAUAGCUCAAAAUCCUGCUUAUAACUCUCUACUAAACAUGGUGCCUGUUGUGCAGUAUCUGUUGCUUUUUAGAUAAGAGAUUUUGAAGUUAAAUAUAUAGCAUGUGGCAUUGAGGUAUAACUGUCAGAUAAAUUGAAUUAAGUGUGUAUGUAGCAAUAUUGUGUGUACCUGUAGGUAGCAAUAUCAUUAUUUAAAUUGUGAAUUUCAAGAAAACUGAACAGAACUGUUUUUUAUUUCAAUUCACAGGAAAGUAAAAUAGGUCAUGUAGGAAGAAGAGAGGCUAAUAAAAUAAAUGUUUAUUAUUUGAAAUUUAGGAACACCACUAAGUAGCACAGAGUUUAAUUUCAACUCAUUAGUUUUUACAAAAUGGCCUUGAAUAAAAUUAUCCUAAAGGGACUCUCUUAUACAUUCUGAGCUGAUAAAUGAAGGCUUUUUUCCUGUCUCACAACCUAUUUUAGGGCUGUUGUUGAAAGAACAUUGAUACUAAGAAUGAUGAUUCCACUUUUUGUGGCAGUAAUCCAUAGCAGAGACAGUUCACUCUGAAAUUCCCUUUGAAAAUAAAGUAAGACUCCUACAGCCAAGGAAAGGACUUCCAGUUCUAGAUCACUUACAAGCACAACUUCUUUACACAGGAUCAGAAUUAGAGAGGCAUGCCAAGUGAAUGAUGAAGCAAACCACCUCUUCUAUGCUGCUGUGAAUAUAGAAAGACAUUAAAAAUCAUAAACACUCUAUAUAAAAAAAACCCAUUUCUUAUUGCCAUAUUUGAAGUUUACAGCAAAAAACCAAAACACCUAAACAAACAAACAAACAAACAAACCCCCCAAAAAUACCAACCUCUACUUCAAGGAUGCAUUUUUAUUAUUUUUAUUACUAGGUUUAGGAGACUUAUGUGUCCAUUCAAUUAAGAUGAAAAGCCAGGUAGAGGAAGAACGGUAAAAAUCAAAAACAAAGCUUGGAGAUUUGUAAUACCCCUGUCUCUGAAAUAUAAGUGAUGGCAAUUAAAGUGUGAGAAAAUCUUGACAAUCUGCUUUAUCUGUGUUCAUAAUCAGAAUACUUCAUGAAAAGUUGAAUUAUUUUGGAACAAACAGGAAGAAAUGGAACAGCCAGCCAUAUAAAACUAGUAUGUGUGAAUGAUGAUUUUAUGACACUGUUCAUCAGAGAUUCACUUCAGAAUGCCUUUGAUAAUUGUGUGGAAAGGAAAACUCUGCCUAGAUAUGUAGAGUCAGAUACAGUUCUACUUCUUCAUUAAAUUUAGAUUUUUCUUAACUUUUCUUUUUUUUUUUUUUUUUUUUUUUUAAUUAAAGCGUAUGAAUCAUCAUCAUCCUUAUUUCAUGAAUUUGUUACAUUUUGGAACAAACUAAUUUUCUUCAGACUAUUUUCUACUUUUUCUAAUUAAUUUAUUUUUCUGCUAAGUUUUUUCCCUUUUUUUUUUCAUCCUUAGUAUUUGAAGACUCUAUAAAUUGAGUAACCCUUUGCUCCUCUGUAGAAGGACUCAUCAGCAAGGCUUCUUCCUGUAAGUGUGGGUUUUAUAUCUGUAGAACUAGUGGUGUAUCUCAUGAGUUCAAAUAUCUGAUCCUGUAAUACAGAAUAAAUGGGCAAAGUCCAUACCGCCUUCUUUUUCCAUUUUAUUGAGUACUGUUAAAAAAGCCCAUAAAUCUUUAUAGAUAGUCUCACUGUAAAUUAUAAUGAACAAUAUAAUUUUCUUUUCAUACACAGUUAGACUUAACAAUCUUAAAACUGCCGAGAAACCUGCAUCUAGUUUUUAAUCCUAUCUACAGAUGAGUUAUAUCCCUGUUACAAAAUCCUCUUCACAAAGUCUGCCUGAAAAGCUCUCAAAUGUUGUGGUAUAUAAUUUCUCAGUUGUGUGGCCUGAAGGUGUAAUUCAGUGCAUCUAAUAUUAGGAAUCUAAGUUCCCCAUCUUUUUAAUAAUUUGAGGUACAGGCCUAGAUGAUUGAAAAUAGCUGAGAAAUAUGCAUUAAUUUGUACGCAAACUCUCUUUUGAGUGUUUUAAAUAUAAUCCUGCUAUAUGUGUGACUAAAAUGGGCUCUCUACUUCAUUGGACUGCAUUUAUUACUAAUAAACUUUAUUAGUGUGAACUAAGCAAUGUGCAAAGUGAAAAUUCUAUUUGUGGCCUAGAUGUAGAAUUGGCACUGAUCUAACUAAAUUGUUAGCUAAAGCCGAUGUGCCUAAAUCCAUGUAGCAAGCUUCUAUGACCAUAGUCAACCAAUAAAAGAGUGCCCAGUACUCAUUCAGCAUAGUUUGGCUUCCAAAUCCAUUUUCCCACACUUAAGAGAAUGUACUAGAGGCUGUCUCUGAUGUAAAUAAGUUACUUUGCAGAUCUGUUUAGCUAAACUGAAGAAAUUUCUCUGUGAUUUCUGUAAAGGUCGCUUGUGAUACUAAGGUGUUCUGACCCUUGUAAGAUAUUCUAGGAAACCAGUGUUGCUUGCCUUGAACUAUCAGUUCUGGUUCUGACUGCCUGGGAUGUCUGAAAUACAGACAUGUAACCAGAAAUGGUUUUCUUGGAAUUAAAAUAUUUGAGUGAAAUCAGGUUGAACUGAUUCUUAGCUACUUCUGAGAUACUCAUUGCUUGUGUUUAGUACUUCUGUUUUUCUAGUCCUUGCUGUAGCCUCUUCCAGCUGUGGAUUCCAUAUACGUGCAGACUGUUGUUGUCAUAUGUCUGCACAUAUUUGGCUUACGUGUGUUUUGGAUUGCACAGCAUGAGCCCUGGUAGGGAGAGUAAUGAAUUCCUAAUGCAAUUCACUGUCAAGUUUGUGACCUCAUCAAAGUCUAGCAUAUUUUAGAGAGCUUGGAUGUUCUUUUUUCAUCAAAUCAGUAAAAUCAUCUUUAUUCCAUUCUAGCCUAUCUUCUUAAUGUUAAUGUGGACGAACUGUGACAGCUGCCAGCAUAAUUUAUUGCAAUUUAUAAUAUCACAUAACCACCAAUUGACUCUUCACAUUCUUGCUGAAUUCCCUCCUUGUUUGCCAUGCCCCCCAAAUGCACAACAGAGCCAUUGAAUUAUCUUGGGAUGUGCUUUGGCUGCAUGAACCAUGUCUCUAAAUCUACUACUUGAAUAUUGGUGAUUUCCAUUCCCCUUGGCACACCCCACCUUCAGCAUUUCCAAGCCAGGGAGCAGAGUCUGGGAUGGCUGCAUCACUUGGGAGGAUUUAAAUGAAGCUGGGAUUUGUUCAGAAUCAGCAGAGAAAUUUUUAUACUAAAUAUCAGGCUUGUGUUUUUGUGGUGGAUUGCACCCAGAAGGAUCACAGACUGUUUUCCUCUGCUGUGUGGGGCAGUGAGAGCAGUACUGGGAGGGCUGCCAUGGACAGCUGCCAGGGUAGACCUGUGGAAGUCCAUGCAGGUGCAGCCUUGGUUUUGUCUUUCGGGCCCUUUUUGGUGAUGGAGUAAGAGACAGACCAAAACACCAGCAACCAUAAAAGUUGUUUUUCUAUGUGAAAGUAUGGUAAUCAUAGUCAAAAUGGACAACAGCAUAUUGUUUUGAUUCUAAAAGGUAUGUAAAUAGUCUCUGUUUGAAGGGAAAGUAAAGCAGGGGCUCAGCAGGAAGCCUGAGAGGAGGCUGCAGCAGGCACACACCUGCUCAGCAGUGCUGGAGUGAUAUUCAAGUGGAAGGCACAACGUGUUUAUGCAGCAUCACGGUAGCUUACUUUAGUUUCUUUUUAUUUUAUGAAGCUGGAAUAAUUCCCUAACUGUAAAUUCUAGUUCUGCUGUUUAAAUUUUUGACACAAGGAACUAUUGGGUAAAUUUUUGAUACAAUAAACUAUAUUUUUACCUAUUGCCCUCUUCUUCAUUAACUUUCUCCUUUGCACAGCUGUGUACCCUUGUUCAUUUUGAGGAAAUAAAUAUGGUCCUCUGUACUGAGUAGGUAGCAGGUUAUACAAUUGCAGCUUUUAUAUCAUUUCCUCUGUCUAUCUCCCUGGGGAAGAGAAACACCAAGAUCUUCAGAAGAUCUUUUUGUUGUUGUAGGUGAUGGACACAUACUUUCUUGUGGGUCUUGUGUAUAGUCACAAUAUAUAACCUUUAAAUGUAGAAAGUGCAAUAAAAGGCACUUAUUAAAAUUUUACAGUUAUCAUCCUGAAUUAGGAAAUGCUAAAAUUCUGUGUUUAGCAGUAACACCAUCCUAUGUACAUAUUUACGACACAGGACUGUAGUGCUGGGUGAUACUAUUCACUUAGGCUGUGAGGACUGUUGCUGCCUCUACAGUUUGUUCACCAAAUUCCAUUGCAUGAUAAAGACAUAUUGGUAGGUAGUUACUGUUUUUUCAUGUUCUUAUAUUUCCUUGAAAACUUUGCAAUGGAUUCACUAUCUGGUGUGAAAAGCAAGGAUCCUAGAGUGGACUGGGACUUGCUUUCAUUUGGGAAUACUGUGUAUUAUUUUGUGCUAAAAGGGUUUCCCUUACAUUAGAUUAUAUCUAUUCUACCUCUGUGGGAAGUGAAAAUACUCUUAUAAGUUUCAAAGUCAUUGAGUGGAUGAAAGGACCAGAUUCAGUGAUUAAAUGAAGAAUAACAAGGUGGUGCUCUAGAGAUGGCCUUGGUUUUCUUGUUACACAUAUUAAGCUGCCUUCUCAACACUGCUGUGGGCACCAGAAUGAUUUGUAUUCAUCCAAGAUGACUUUUUAUUGAGGUUUACUAAUGUACACACUGGUCCGUAUGGAGAGUUUGCUUUGUAGUGUUCAGCAGUGUUAGAGUAGAGUAGAGAAUUGCCCUCCAAAUACUGCCAGAAUAAAUAAAAAUACUAUCGUGGAAAAACUGCUUCUGAAGAACAGCUCCCUAUUGCAGCUUUGUUUUUCCAGAACCUGCAGUAGGGAGGGAAGCCAACACUUAUUUUCUUAAAGGCGGUUAAUGACUUCACCCAUUUCUGAGAAGACUGUCUCCUAGUUUAUUAGAAAGAGAUUGCUUGUCUACAUGUCAUUGUAAAUGUCAUAAAUAUGAAAAAAAAAAAAAAAUCCUUGAUUUAAAUUUCAAAGCAACAGUUCUUGCCAGUGGGACCCUAACCUGUUCAUACAAUGUGUAGCUGCUCAGCAUCCCUUCAACAUCUUUUGUUUCCUAUUUGUAUUAUAGUUUCUAGGAAAUGAGAUUAGUUGUGAGAACCAGGUUUGCUGCUUUAGUAGAUAGUGGAUGUUUAUGUGAUACAUUAACCUCAUACUGAUGCAUUUCUUUAAUUAAGUUUGUUCCCAAGGAAAGUAAGAAUAAUAACAUUUGUAAAUGUUUAUGCUUACUGUAAGAUGUGACUUACAGAAAUUUGUGUUUCAUGAUUUAGACCUGAGGACAUACAAAUUUCCAAGGUUUGACUGUUGCAGAGCUUAUGUUUAAUUCUGGGCCCAAAGUAAUAUUUUGUUUAGUCAGGAGUCAGGCAAGGUAAACAUUAAUGUCAAGAAGCAUGAACUAUCUCAUUUGCUUCGGUGGAUGCUGAUGCCCUGAUUUGACCUAAUAAGCCUCAACAGGAUUAACCCUUAAAAUGAUUAACACAUUAAAAGAAAAAAAUCUUAUUUUUCUGGUUAUGUAAUCUUAUAAAAAAUGUAAGUUCAUUAACUUCAAAAGAUUGUAACUUAAGGGACUAAGAUUAAAACUAAAUCUUCAGAUAGACAGAUAUAAUAAAAAGUAUUGCUUUAAUUAAUUAAAUUGUGACAUUCUAGUAUUAUGAAGACAACACUAUAAAAUCUAUGUGACUUUUGUGUUGUGGUUUACAAGGUUUUGUUGUUUUUAUGUAAAAUAGAAUUGUCUUAGUAGGCACAAAAACUGUAUCUUGAAUUGAACAGCUGUAUAAAUAUUUCCUGAUGACUCCCUUUCAACAAUAGCUGACAAACAAACAAACAAACAAAAAAAAACCAAACAAAAAACAAAACAAAAAACCCCCCAAAAACCCAAAACAAAACAAAACCAAACCAAGAGAAGAAUAAAAAAUACCUGUUUAUAUUACAAUGGGCUGUAAACACACCACAGUAUUUCUCCCUCCUGAGAUUACAUAAAGCUCUGUUCCUUGAGUUUUGCCAGUGCAUUAGUGCCCUCUUCCUCCUGGUGAACCCCUUCUGAGUGUCUCUUCAGGGCCAACAGCAAAGUUCCAUCUCACAAGGACUUGAUGGCUGUCAUCCAGCAACAAGAAUAGUUUAGUGAUGCUGCUUUUCUUCCCAGGGCGUUUGUGACAUGGAGUGGGCCAGGCUCAUUGCAUCUUCUGCAUAAAUCAUCUGAUCAUUGCCUAAAUUCCUGUUGAAUAUUAUCUUUUCAGCAUAGCUUUUCCAGUGCCCAUACCAAGGAGAGCAAAAUAUAGUAGAAUUAAAUAGGAGGUGGAAGGAUUUAGUAUAAGUUUAGGUUAGUUUUAAUUCAGUGCUUUAGUUUAGCCAGAACAGAUUCUGAUGAUACUGAGCUGAAAUCAUAGGCAUGAAACAGCAUGACUUUGCUCCUGUCUCCUUGCAUCUUUCCACAUUCUGUGGAGUUGCCAACACACUUUAGGUUUUAAAAUUCAAUUUGGAGUUCUGUAGCCAGGCAUUUAUAGAAUAAAUAAAUAAAUGUUUUGGAUGAGAAAAUCCAUAUUUCAUUCCCAUCCACGCUUGUUUCAUGUUUUGUUCGUAAUUACAAUGAUACUUUGUCAGAGUUUUAAAAAUGGUAGAAAUUGUUAAUAAUUAGGAGGUUAUAUGUUUCUAGUCACAUAAAUCUGAGAAAUGUGCAUUUGCCAGUGGUAUGUAAAAUAAGAUAGUGGUCUCAAAUUAUAAGUUAGGGUUUUGUGUUGUCUUGAUUAAUUUUUUUAAAUGCAUUCUUACUCCAUGUUGUUGAUCUGUAUAACUGCUAAAAGAACAAAUGACAAAAGUAUUUCCCUAUGACUCCUAUGAGAGAAGUGUUGUGAGCUAAGAGAAUUAUGGAGUCAGAAUGGAGACUGAAGUUAUUUGUGUUCAUAUUUAAAUAACUGUGUAAAAAUAGUGAUGUUGAAGAGAGUAGUAGCUCACCAGGAAGAGUUCUGUGAGGUUGAACAUUUUUCCUCUGCAGUCUCUAUGGGCAGUCAUGAAUUCCUGCUCCAGGGUUUCUAGUCACGAAGCAAGCUUUAGGCUUUUUUAUGGGUCUGAAAGGUGACUAAGGAGGUACAGCAUCCUGUUGUUUUGGCUACAUCAAAUUCAGAGUCAUCAUUUAUGAUUUCUGUCACACAAAUAAAGAUUUAUAAGCCUGUUCAGCAAAAGAGAAGAUGUCAGCCAAUUUGUACCUCUGUAUCUAGAAUCCAUAUGAAAGACUUGCACUAGUUUAUAAAUAAUCCAGUGAGAGAUCUAAAUAAGUGCAGGGAAAACAGAAACAUUUAUAGUCUGUGCCUGUGCCAAAAAUACUUCAUCUUAAUUGAGAGAUCUGUCUUCUUAUGGAAAAUGGUAGCAAGAUUUUUACCUGAAAUAAGAUCUGAAAACAGGUUCUGAAAGACUUGAAAAUAAUAACAGAAGCCUUCUGAAAUACCCUCCAAAACCUUGACAUCAACCAGAUUUUAUCUCCUGUAUAUUUUAUGUUUGUUCAACUGUUUCUUCUUCUGAAUUUGUCAUGCCUUCUUAUGUUGUGCCUUUGAUUGAUAGUGCUUAUGCAAGAAAAUGCCUUUUUUUAUGUUCUUAAAUACUUUUCUGAAUCAGGGCUAUAAUGUUACCAGUCUUUUAUAGGUGGAAGCAUGAAAGGCAGCUGAAAUGCUGGGUAAUUAUUAAUACUUGGCUAGUAAUAAAUUUGUCCAAACUGCAUCUUAGAGGAGAUAGAAUGUAUUCAUAAAUUUUGUGUUGUUAUUGUUGGAUUAUUUGGGGAAGGAAAAAUAAUUGGAAGGUACAGCAUUUUAAAUUUUUUUGAAUCAGCUACUAAUUCUGAAAUGUCAUAUUCAGUAGAAAUCUCACUAAAAAUCAGAAAAAAAUUGUAAGAUGGGUUUUAGUGUUUUGAUAUUGAGAGAAUAAAAAACAUCCAAAAAAACUAAACCCUGACUAAAACAAGAAAAAUGUCCAUUAUGGACUUAUCUCUUUUAACAUUUAGUUUUUCUAUGUGUUCCUCAAACUGAGAAGUCUCAUUAUUUUUGUUGUUGAGGUGAGUGUCUCUGGUUAGGCAUUUAAGGCUUUCUGGGGGAACCAGGAGGAAAGCAGGCAGAAUUUAGAGCUCUCUGGAGGACUUUUACAGUAGCAGCAUUAAAGGGCAAACCACGCUUGGAUGUCAAACACCCAAAGCAAAACCAACAGAUUGCUUGAGUCAGAGAAGCUGAUGGUGUGGGUUCAGGCUGCCUGAAACGUGUACCAGGAUGCCUGAGCUAUGUGCACUUCAGACAACUUCUGUGUGGCUGUCAGGAGAUGUUCAUUAAUUUCAGGAUAAUAGUUGUCCUGGGAAAGGAAAAGUGGAAAUCUGGACUAAGAAUUUCAGUAGAAGUAAGCGAUGUGCAAAUAAUUUUAAAAAGAACAACCCAAAGCCUGUUAUGGUUUGUGGUCUUGAUGAGUCCAUUAAAUCUCAGGCUCAAGUAGAGGCAAAUUUUAGAAAAAUAUAGAUGAGAUUUCUUAUAUAAACAUGAAUAUAUUUAAUUAAAAGCCUGUGUAGAUAGAUGUAGUGAGACUUUAUGAACAUCUGUUGACUUUUUCUCAGAGUUCAUUAUGCAGAAAUUUGUCUCUUCUGCUCAUUUUGAAAUUUGGACAUUAAACUUAAUUGAUUCAUAAGAAGAUGACGUGGAUAAUAGAUUGCUAAUAAUGUGCACAACUUACUAAGCAGAUGAUGUGCCAAGGGAACAGAGAGAGAGAGGGAAAGGCAAGUUGCUGUGAUGUGAUAUAUUUGAUCAACCAUGCCAGAGUCCUUUUCCCAUGUGGUGGGAAAUGUUUAAUGCAAAGUGCCAAGUGUGUCAAGACAGCAGAAAAUUAAAACUGUCGCAUUUGAAUGUCAGUUGGGAUACCACGAAACUUUAUAAAGCAAAGUAAGUACAUCUGAUGUGUUGAAGCUGAUGGGAUUACUGGAAUUGGUAAUAGUUUUGGAGAAGCCCUUUUUGUAAGUUAAUGUUAUUAAUCACUGUCCUCAAGCCUAGAGCCUGUUAGAUUUUCAUUAGCAGACAAUUAGUGAGGUUAGGUCCAAACAUAAGGAGUACUGAAUGCCCCCUGAUGAUAGAGGGGCAAAUGGUCUGGUCUUCCCAAAAUCACAGAGUGAUAGAAUGGUUUGUGUUGGAAGGGAUCUUAAUCUAGUACCAGUACUCCUGCCAUAAACCAGGUUUCUCAGGGCUUCAUCCAGCUGAAACACUUUCAGGGAUGGGGCAUUCACAGCUUCUCUGGGCAGCUUGUUCUGGGGCCUCACCACUCUUACAGUCAAGAAUUUUUGAACGAUUUCCAGCCUAAACCUCUCUUCCUGUUUAAAACCAUUGCACUUUGUCCUUGCUGUUGUAAAUAAUCUCACUCCUUCUUUCAUGUGGGCUCUCUUCAGGUGCAUUUAGGUCACAUGGAAGGCUUUGCUUUCCAGGCUGAACAAACCCAAAUCUCUUAGCCUCUCCUAAUAGGAGAGUUGCUCUAUCCGAAGUGCAUCAUCUAGAACUUGGUUUUGUUGAACUGCAUGAGAUUGCCCUUGGCCCAUAUUUAAAAUUAUUUUUAGGCCUGUGAAACAUGUCAAAAGAGUACUACCUCCAGUGAAAUUGCAGGAGGGAUCACAUUAUUAUUCACAUGCUUUAUUUGCUUCUGUUCUGAAUGCAGCAUGAGUUUCUGAUUUGUGGUAGUUGUAUUUUUUUUUUUUUUUUUUGGUCUGGAUCAGAUGUAAAUAUUGGGAAUAGGUUUGAAUUUUUUAGCAUUGAAAUGUUUGUGAAUGAAAUAUUUGAGAAGGGAUAUUGUGGAUCUAUUGCAUCCACACUUCUGGAGUUAAGAGAAGUGUCACCUGAUUGUCUUUAUCCUAUAUGCAAUGAAUAAAACUGCUGUCUGUCACACAUGAGUUCUUUCCAAAGGAAGAAUUAAAUUAUAUUCUGGCUUCUUUUUGCUGAUGUUCUCCAUGGUUCAGAAUUGUGGUUUUCAAAGGGGAAAACCCAGAAUUUGUGCCAAAUUGUAUUGAAUGCCAAUAAUGUUUCAGCUUAUUAAACUGCUCUGUGAUUUCUGCUUGACAGUGGUCAAUAGUCAUUUAUCACUCAUCUUGUAAAUUGCUGUAAAUUGGAUAUAAUGGAUAGUUGUUAGUUUAGUGGAGAAACUCUUUGUUUACACCACAAUAGAACCUGUGGUGUAGAACAAGUUUUUAUUUACUGAAUACAUCAGAAAGCUGUUAUUACUUUAUUUCAGGAUUUUUUCCCCUUCAGUAUCAUUAUCCUGUAUUAAGUAGGAGAGAAGUCUCAGUUUUGUAUACAACAAUUCCAAGGCUAAACUUUUGUUAGACAUUCAUGUUCUUAGGUUUUUGCUUGUGGAUCGGAUGUUGAAAAAUAUUUAUUCUUUUGACUAUUCCAUGGAAAAUCUGCUUGGGAGAAUGUUUUAAUUUUGUGAGGGGCCAUGAAAUGAUUAUUUUAUAUUAGUCCAAAAUAAAGUGCAUGAGAGGCAGUUGCUUAAGAGUUUGGCAUGGGGUUCUGCUGGGCAUAUCUGCCUCUGGAGGUCGUCUAGUCCAAAACCAUGCUUAAAGCAGGGCAGCCUGGAACUGGUUGCUCAGUAAUCCUGUGUGAGUAUAUAAAAGGGUGGGGACUCCACAACCUCUCUGGGCAACCUGUGCCACUGCCUGGCCAUUCUUGCAGUAGAAUGCAUUUUUCUUGCAUUAAGCAUUCUUGCAUUAAAUUUCCAUUAUUCCAAUUUGUCCCAGCUUCUUUUGACCUGUCUCUGGGCAGAUAUAAGAAGAAUCAGGCUUUUGUCAUCGUUCAUUUUCACUGAUGCAUGACUGAGCUGGGACAGCCCUAAAUUUGGCUUGAAUCAUUGUGAUUACCUGCAUCAGAUUUUUUGUAUGGAGAGGCUUAAAGUGCUAAGAUAAAGAGCUAGUUUUUUUCUAAAACCAUAUGGGAAAUCAGUAUUCUUAAUGUUCCAUUUGGUGUGAUUUACUAGUGUUGCAUUUUGAUGAUUUUUCAGUGUUUAAAAUAAACUAUCACUCCCUUGAUUAAAAAUAAAUGCUUGGUAUAUUGGAAGAAAGGUAGAUUUCUGUUUCAGAGGAAGCAGCACCUUCCUAUUGCACAAGCAGCUGGUUAUAGUUUUCUGCUGGUGGAAUAGUGGGGUAUUUUAUUUUCAGCAAGGAAGAAAUACAGCAUGGAAAAGAAAAAGUCCAGAUGUUUACUUCACAACAUGGGGAAGAAUUUUACUAAUCUUGCCUGCCAUACCAAAGGGUGAGAGCAUUUUUCUCUGUUAAAGCUUUUGUAGCCUCCAUGAAUUUAUAAUUGCCUACUCUGAGCAAUGCAUGUGAAAUCUCCUGUUUUACAGAGGCAAACAUUUCAUAAAUCUGCUUGAACCAUGAGCACAGCACAGUAGCAAUAAAAACCCAUCUUGGAUUAAUAAGAAAUGUUUUUGCUUAUAGUUUCUUCAGUGCUAAGCCAUUUCUCUGUUAUGUAGAAAAUUUGAACAAUUUGAAGCAGACUGAACUCUGCAAGUGUCUGUUUCUAAAGCUCUUUAAUCUCCUGUAUUUGGGUUCAUCUGUGGUUGUCAGAAAAAAUCAUACUGUCUUGAAAACUUUUUUAGGUGACAUUAUUUGCUCUAUCACUACUCUCUACCCUUGUUCCUAAGCUAUUACAACAGUUCUUCAAAGUUUAUUUAGCAAUCACAUUGCUACUUGUGUCCUCAGACAAUUUAGGAUAUCUCAGCACUUCUAAGUCAUGGUUUUUGGGAUGUCACUACAUUCUUUCUGCUCAGAAAUAUCGUUGAAAAGGUAUAUUAAUAACAAGAUUUAGUUUUAAUUGAUUUGUUCUGAAAGAAAGCUCUUGAUGACUUUGGCUUGGGUUCAAAGCUUGUGUGAAUCCUGUGGGUUGCUGUGCUACCUCACCCCAGCACAUGGCCCCAGCCUUCCAUACAUUAUCUUUCCUGUGGAAGGCUUUGCAUUAUGGUAAAAAGAUAAAAGGCUGCUGGGAGGGCUUUUCUCCUCCAAGUGGUGCUUAGGUUAAGAGUAACAGCCACAGUUUCAUUGCAUCUAAAUGUGAAAUUUGAGACCAAUUUAGUGGAAAACAGUUCUGUUAUUAAGACAUUUAGACACAUUCAUUCACUAGAUUUAACUAGUUUAUGUUCUCUGCUAAAAGAAAAAUAUUUAUUUCUGAAAUCAUUCUGCAUCUCUAACAGCAUUAUGAAUAAAAUGUAUAUACUUGUUUUUCAGAUAAGUAGAAAUCAUGGCUUGAUAUUUGGUUAAAGAGGAAAUAGCAGAACUAGGUAGAAGUAUUAUGGUCUGCUUGUUUUAAGCCCACAGAUUUUUAUAGGGGCAUGAGCCUUCAUAUAAAUAAUUUUUGGUGCUCUAGUGGGACAUACGUGCUUUGAGACUAUUCUUCCCUGAAAAGAAUAGAUACAUUCAGACUGUCCAAGAGUUAAGGCAACAGGACAUUGCAGCUGUUGUACUGUAAGAAGUCUGCAGCUUUGUGAAGGAUAAUUACAGUUCUUUUGGGAAAUAAAAAUCCCCUCUCUUCAGAAGCUGCAGAAUAUAUGAUUAGAUAUCAUGAAGCAUUGCCUUGGAUUAUAACCAGUCUGAUUGCUGAGCCUGAAAAUCUGGUUAUUUAAAUUGCCUGCUGUUUGAUUAUAACCCUGUGUCAGGAUUUGGGAUUACAGCAAAUGACUCCAAAGAGCAGAGGUACCAGAAGUAAAUUGUAAACAGCCCUUACACUUCAACAUAUUCCCUUGUGGCAGGUCAGGACUGUACAUGCAUGUCUGUAAAUGCUGAGAGGAGAGUGAAAGCUUUCUGUUUAUGAGGAAGUCAGCAAGAAUGGGCAUUCCUUGAAUAUCUGCUCAUCUGGGGAUAGUUGGGGAUCUUUCAUGAAGAGGACAGCCAUGGGUGGCAGUGCUUAAAAGGGAGAAAUGCUCAGAUGCCAGGAGAAAUUAUAUCUUUGUCUUCCUUUUUUUGGUUACUGUUUUUAUACAUUACAACUUUUUUUGGUGAACUCUAGUGGCAAAAUCAGUGUUGAUUUAGGCUAGCUUAGGCUUUGCUGAAACUAGAACUCAUUCUGUCCAA